AUUGAACGCUGGCGGCAGGCCUAACACAUGCAAGUCGGGCGAGCGGCGGACGGGUGAGUAAUGUAUGGGGAUCUGCCUGAUGGAGGGGGAUAACUACUGGAAACGGUAGCUAAUACCGCAUACCAUCAGAUGAACCCAUAUGGGAUUAGCUUGUAGGUGAGGUAACGGCUCACCUAGGAGACGAGCCCUAGCUGGUCUGAGAGGAUGAUCAGCCACACUCGGCCUGAUACACGGCCCAGAUUCCUAUUGGAGGCGGCCGUAGUGAAUAUUGACCUAUGGACGCAAUCCUUGUGCAGCCAUGCCGCGUGUAUGAAUAAGGCCUGCGGGUUUUAUAGUUCUUUCAGUCGUGAGACGUUACCGACAGGGGAGGCACCGGCUAACUCCGUGCCAGCAGCCGCGGUAAUUC
rnacentral:rRNA from 1 species